rnacentral:rRNA from 1 species
UACGUAGUUAGCCGGUACUUCUUCUGCAGGUACCGUCACUUUCGCUUCUUCCCUGCUGAAAGCGGUUUACAACCCGAAGGCCGUCAUCCCGCACGCUGCGUCGCUGCAUCAGGGUUUCCCCCAUUGUGCAAUAUUCCCCACUGCUGCCUCCCGUAGGAGUCUGGGCCGUGUCUCAGUCCCAGUGUGGCCGGUCGCCCUCUCAGGCCGGCUACCCGUCGUCGCCUUGGUGGGCCAUUACCCCACCAACAAGCUGAUAGGCCGCGAGCCCAUCCCCGAUCGAAAAACUUUCCACCAACCCUCAUGCGAGGGUUGGUCGUAUCCGGUAUUAGACCCAGUUUCCCAGGCUUAUCCCGAAAUCAGGGGCAGGUUACUCACGUGUUACUCACCCGUUCGCCACUCAUCCACCAACAGCAAGCUGUCGGCUUCAGCGUUCGACUUGCAUGUGUUAAGCACGCAGCCAGCGUUCGUCCUGAGCCAGGAUCAAACUC